rnacentral:rRNA from 1 species
AAAUCCACUGACAGAAAAUGUGGCAAAUUGAUCAUAUGGGAAAUUCCGUAAGAUAGAAUGAAUUGAAGUACAUGAACAUCUGGUUUCGGCAGGUUUUUUCCUGUUUUCCGCAAUGCAGCACCUCAGAAAUAUUUAAGAAUAAUGCUAUAUAAUUCAGAUUGUUCAUUACUCAUAUUAAGCAAUAUAGAUUUCAUAUGCUUAGAUUCAGGUAAAACAACAUUAAGCUGAUACAUGUUAUGAGUUAGAUCAGCAGCUCUUUUCACUGAAAUAUUGGAUUUUUCUAUAGCGAGAGUAAUUGGCCUUGACAGUGGCCAACGAAAAUAGGUGAAAAUAGCAUCUAAGGCUAAAUAUUCAUCAAGACCGAUAGCAUACUAGUACCGUGAGGGAAAGUUGAAAAGUACCCCGGAAGGGGGGUCAAAAGCGCCUGAAACCAACCGGUUACAGACGUUUACAGCUUGAAAGGAUUUAGGUAGAGGUUCCGCAAGGGACUGAAGCCUUCUAGAGUUGUAAGUUCCGUCUAGAAACACGGGCCAGGGAGCUUGUUGUUAUGGCGAGCUUAACCCGUUAAGGGGUAGGCGAAGGGAAACCAAGUUCGCGCAGCAUUAGCAAGGCGAAGGAUCUGAAAGGGUCUUGAGUCAUAGCAAUAAGGCUAGAAACCGGACGAUCUAUUCCUGGACAGGAUGAAGGUGGGCGAAAGCUCGCUGGAAGUCCGAAGGGGUCCUGACGUGCAAAUCGGUCCUCAGAUCUGGGAUUAGGGGUCAAAAACCAAUCUAGUCCGGUGAUCGCUAGUUCCCACCGAAUCGGAUCGCAGUCCUACCUUAGUUGAGAUUGCCUGUGCUGUAGAGCACCGAUCGGAUAGUAAGGGUUCGAAAGAGCUCGCUAACCAUUCGAACUCCGAAUGUACAGGCGUCGUAGAAACUAGGAGACGGGUUUAUGUGGGGUAAGCCUCAUAACCGAGAGGGGGACAACCCAGACUAAAGUUAAGGUCCCUAAAUGUUUGCUAAGUGUCAAACAAAAGGGUGUCUUAGAGCAGAGACAGCAGGAAGGUAGGCUCAGAAGCAGCCAUCCUUUAAAGAGUGCGUAACAGCUCAUCUGCCGAGCUCCGAGGCCCCGAAAAUGGACGGGGCUCAAGCAAACUACCGAUACUUUAGAUCACCAACAAAGUUGGUGUAUGGUAGGUGGGCGUAGUGAUUGGGUAGAAGCUGGGUUGUGAAAUCCAGUGGACCGAUUGACUAGUGCAGAUCCUGGCGGCAGUAACAGCAUAGCCGGGUGAGAAUCUCGGCGACCGAAUGGGCAAGGGUUUCCCGGCAAUGCGUCGUCAGCCGGGAGUUAGCCGGUCCUAAGAACAACCUCAACAGAGUUGUCCGAAUGGGAAACUGGUUAAUAUUCCAGUGCCUUGAAAGAUCGUUACCACCCAUCUUGCUGCUUCAGGAUAGGGCAAGCAGAAUCGUCGUUCUGUCCAAGUUUUCGAGUUUUGGGGAGUGUCAUAAUGACGAGAUCCGAAACGAGAGAUGAAUGGUCCUCCGCAAGGAGGAUUUGCUUGAAUCCAGGAGACACUGAAAACAAGAAUGAGAAGAUUCUUUCAAGACCGUACCGAGAUCCGACACUGGUGCCCUAGAUUAGUAGUCUAAGGUCUAUCGGGUAUACCGUAUGGCGAGGGAACUCGGCAAAAUAGCUCCGUACCUAUGGUAUAAGGAGUGCCUGCGGUUUUCAUGAAGAAUGGGAACCGCAGGUCGCAGUGACAAGGGGGUCCCGACUGUUUAAUAAAAACACAGGUGGUCGCUAGUCCGAAAGGAUGUGUACGGCCUCUGUAUCCUGGCCAGUGGCGGUACCUAAAACCUGGGUUCAACUGGGCUAAGGGCCGCUAAACGCCGGGAGUAACUCUGACUCUCUUAAGGUAGCCAAAUGCCUUGUCGGGUAAGUUCCGACGUGCAUGAAUGGAACAACGAGGGCCCCGCUGUCGCUACCGUACGGCUAACCCGUUUUUACGGGGACAUCGGCAGGUGGGCAGUUCGGCUGGGGCGGCACCCCCUUGAAAAAGUAUCGAGGGGGCCCAAAGAUUGGCUCAAGCGGGACAGAACUCCGCUGUUGAGGGCAAAGCCAGAAGCCAGUCUGACUGGAUCUCCAAUGAUACGAGAUUCAGAGGCGAAAGCCGGGCUUAGCGAUCCAUCAUGUCCCCACUAUUGGGGGCUGGUGGUGACAGAAAAGUUACCCUAGGGAUAACAGGCUCGUCGCGGGCGAGAGCUCCUAUCGACCCCGCGGUUUGGUACCUCGAUGUCGGCUCUUCCCAUCCUGGUUCUGCAGCAGGAGCCAAGGGUGGGGCUGCUCGCCCAUUAAAGGGGAACGUGAGCUGGGUUUAGACCGUCGUGAGACAGGUCGGUCUCUGCCUGACAGGGGUGUAGUUGUUUGAGGGGAAGUUGCCCAUAGUACGAGAGGAACAGGGCAGCGCAGCCUCUGGUUUAUCAGUUGUCCGACAGGGCAGGCUGAGCCGCUAAGCUGUUUAGGAUCUUAGUUCAGUUCGCCAGUUCGUCAAAUUGUUCUUUUGUAUGACAAUCUUUUUUAUUUCUUUUUGAUAUUUCAUAAUCGUAAUAAAUAGGUCUUGU